GUCACUUUUCAUCUCUGCCACUGAGGGGAGCCAGUGAGCCGCUUUCUCUGCAGAGACGAGGAGCGAGGACGAAAGAGAGGAGGUGAGCAGAAGGAGAGUGAGGGCAGAGGUCAGCUGAUUCCAAGUCUGUGCAGACCUCCGACUCCCUGACAGACCCUUUAAAUACAGGCAGGGUCUGUAGAGAAGGAUUCAGAGACCAUCAAGGAGAUGAAAUCUGCAUCCAUGUUCAAAACAAGACGGUUUGAGCUGCUGCUACAUCAGAGGACCAAGUGGAGAGAUAACAAACACUCUUCAGAACCAGGAGAGGAGCUCAAAUGACCAGGUCUGUGUGUGUGUGUGUCCCGUGUUAGAGCAUCCUCGAGAGAGGCUCAACAUCCAGACCUGCAGAGAAAAUAGACGGAGAGCAGACGUCCAGAAAAAAACCAUCAGACUGAGCUCAGAACCGCAGCACGCAGGAACUCUGCAGCUCUCAGAGUCAGUGCCAGAGCUUUGAAGCUGUCAAACCCUCAGCAUAAUAAAACACACUCAUCUAUUUGUCUGCAUUCAGACCUUUUCCAGCUUCACUGUGCUCUCUGGGCCAGUGUUUGCUGCGCCUGGCUCUGCAGUCUUCAAUAUUUAUGCAGACCUUGGAUCACAGCGCUCAGUCUGUUCUCACCGGUGUGGGUUUCAAAAACACACACAUGCUGACGAGUUUACCUCAAACCAAACAUUUUCAGCAGAGGUUCGGGGGCAGGAGGGUGUCAAAAUUCAUCCAUCUUUGUAUGUCAGCGCUGCUUUGGCACAACGGGGAUUUCAAACAGUACGAAGCAGACGCAGCGUUCCUACGCAGGAUGUUUGUUGGUCCGUCUCCAGGAGAAGUGGUCGCGUCUUGUGUUUGUCUUCUUAUCUUCUGUUUAUGAGGCUCUCUGAAGCUGCUGCCAGCAGUCACAGACACAUUAGAGUCCCACAUCACAAAGUAUUUAUGUUCGCUGUGAUUAAUCGUCUGUGUGUUUGCAGAGAGAGCCUCGCACUGAUUGAGGAGUGGAAAAGGACGGCUGCAGCACAUGGGCCGAGGAGGCUGAGGGCUGCAGCCUGCGUGCAACAACCAUCUGUGGAGGUCCUGAGACUCUCUCCGCCCUCAUGUCAGGAUCACACACACACACACUCAUUAGAGAUGCACUCAAACAGGGUCACCUACAUACCUGAGACUAAACACAGGUGAGAAACAUGAGCAUUCAUUUGUCUGUUAAAGGUGGAGUAGGCAGGAAUCUGUUCAAGAAACGACUUAUUUUUGUUGUAUAAACAAAAACUCUUCUAAUAUCAGUCAAUAGUUAUUAGUUAUUGAUUAUUUGGUAAUAUAUUGAUAUCUCUGUGUUCUCUUAUGUCUGUGUCGUCAACAUUUGAACAUUUCUGAGCGGUCCGCUCUUUCUGACUGUAAACAAAGCCGUUCUCCACCUCCUCUAACCUGAUUGGUUGUGAGGCAGACGCUGCUCCCCCGUGUCGUUCAGGAGCCCAAACAAAGUUAGCGUGCUACAAUAUCGGACAGUAGAAACCAACCAGAAAGUUCGGAAAAUCGUCUGAAUCCUCCUUGGGCCACGACUGCCGACACAGUUUCUAAUUUGAACACAUUUCAAACGUGUGUGUUCAUGUAUAAAUGUACACUCCUGUCAUGAUCCACCCAGCCCUGUCUGGAAUUUCUUCAAGUCCACUUCAGAGGUCCAUUCAUAUCAUACGAGGCCUCCUUCCUUUUUAUCGGACAUCCCUGAACCAAUCCACACUGAAGUACAGAGGUCUAUGUUUGUGGAACCAACUCCCUCACACUCUACACUCAGCAUCUUCAUCAUCAAAAGGCCAUUAAAGAGGUCAUCACUGUGAGAGUUUUGAAUGACUGAUCUUGGAUCCAUGUGAUUUGUUAACUGUCAUGUAAUUUAUAUUUCCUUGUUACUGUUAAAUUUCAUAGUUGUUUCUGCAUGUUUAUAAUUUUUUUUUUUUUUUUUUGAUGACUUGAACUGCACAGGUACUUCGACAAGCUUUAAUGGCUUCUAACCUCCCCUGUACAAUACUGUUUUAAAUCUAUCAUGAAACUGUUCUCUAUUUGUCAUGUGCAAAUGAAUAAACCAAACCAAACUAAA